rnacentral:rRNA from 1 species
GUUAUCGUUUAUUUGAUAGUACCUUACUACUCGGAUAACCGUGGUAAUCCUAGAGCUAAUACAUGCUAAAAACCUCGACUUCGGAAGGGGUGUAUUUAUUAGAUAAAAAACCAAUGCCCUUCGGGGCUCUCUGGUGAUUCAUAAUAACUUAACGAAUCGCAUGGCCUUGUGCCGGCGAUGGUUCAUUCAAAUUUCUGCCCUAUCAACUUUCGAUUGUUAUGUAGUGGAUAACAAUGGUUUCAACGGGUAACGGGGAAUUAGGGUUCUAUUCCGGAGAGGGAGCCUGAGAAACGGCUACCACAUCCAAGGAAGGCAGCAGGCGCGCAAAUUACCCAAUCCCGACACGGGGAGGUAGUGACAAUAAAUACUGAUACAGGGCUCUUUUGGGUCUUGUAAUUGGAAUGAGUACAAUUUAAAUCCCUUAACGAGGAACAAUUGGAGGGCAAGUCUGGUGCC